rnacentral:lncRNA from 1 species
UUAGCUACUUAAUGCAUUUGUUUAACAUAAUAUCCAUCUCAAGGUGACUAUGUUUACUACUCCAAAUCAACACUGGUAGAAUAAUUAAUACUUAUUUUAUACCUCGUUUAUUAAAAUUAAAUAUAUGUGUUAAACACUAAAACAAGAAAAUAUGCGAAUUUUUUAUGAAUAAUUAUAUUGACUUAAAUUAUAAUGUAUUGAUAUUUGAGUUUUUUAAAAUCCGAAAUUCUAAAAUAUAUUUUAUUGAUAUCAUAAUAUGUUGUUUAAAAAAAAUUUACAAUGAAAAAAAGAAAUAAAGAAAGUGACAGUUUUUAUGGACAAAUAUGUGUUAGAUUUAUGAAAAAAAACACAAAUUGUGAAAAUAACGUAUAUCUACUUUUGCUAGAUACCUAUAACCUAUUAGAUGGAUACAUGGNN